UACGGAGGGUGCAAGCGUUAUCCGGAUUCACUGGGUUUAAAGAGUGCGUAGGCGGGUAAGUAAGUCCGUGGUGAAAUCUCUGAGCUUAACUCAGAAACUGCCGUGGAUACUAUUUGCCUUGAAUAUUGUGGAGGUGAGCGGAAUAUGUCAUGUAGCGGUGAAAUGCUUAGAUAUGACAUAGAACACCCAUUGCGAAGGCAGCUCACUACACAAUCAUUGACGCUGAGGCACGAAAGCGUGGGGAUCAAACAGG
rnacentral:rRNA from 1 species